GACGUGCGGCAAUCAGACCCCAUAGCCGGUAAGGAUAUAGAGCAGGCAUGUGUUUAUUGGUGACGCGCGUACAGCCCGGUGCAAGGGGGAUCGCUCCACCUAACUUGCGCACCGUCAGCAGAAAUGGGGCUAUAGAUACAGGUCCAACUAAUACAUCAGCAGUAGUUGACAGGAAUUCGGAUACAUAUUCACUACAUUCCCGAGAGCCCAUCAGCAUGCAGUCCUCCCCCUCCUUGCGCGUGCGUAGCAGGUCGUGAUGAUGAAGGCUCAUAGUCUUCCUCGCUGCAAACUUCUGACCCCGAAGGGGGGGCAUCCCCCGAACUGGUUUCAGCUUGCCCUGUAGACAUGCAAUCACCUCCCUGCCAAAUGUGUUGGAGCUGCUCUGCUGUCCUUAUCUUGAUGGCCUUCAUCCUCCUUGCUAUUCCAGACCUGGUGUCUGUGAAAGUGCUUGGAACCCCUUGUUUUCUAACACUCUCUACUUAAACUCUCUCUAUUUGCCCCUUAUGUCUACCUUGUGAAGCUACUUUCCCUUUUCUUGCUGUGAGGCCCUUCUCUCUAUAACUGCAGGGUCCUGUUCUCACUCUUCAUUGGGAUGCUUUG
rnacentral:lncRNA from 1 species